GGCCUGGGGGUGGAGAAUCACAGGCAUGAGAGUGCUCACCUCUCACCCCUGUACCCUUAGCAGUGCUAACUCCAGAAUGCGCAGGAUGCUUUAGAAGUGAUGCGGGUAUCCAACCACUGCUCCCCAUUCCCUCCAUCCUGGUUCAGACACCAUCAUCUUCCUCUUUACUGGCCUCUCUACUUCCACAGUGCCCUGGUGUCUGCUCCCCACAUAGCAGCUAGAGAGACCCUUUUAGAACCUAAGUCAGAUCAUGCCCCUUUUCUGCACAGAAUUCUCAAAGUCCUCACCAUGGCCCACAGGCCCAGGAGUGAUCUUGUCUCUCCCUCUUUUGAUGUCAUCUCUGUUCACUCUCCUCAGUUCACUCUGGCCACUAGCCCCCUUGCUGUCCCUCAAACAUACCAAGCAUGCUUGCCUCCUAGGCCUUUGCACUGGCAGUUCCCUCUGCCAGGAACAGUAUCUCCCCCGCCCCCAUAUCUUUAGGGCUAACUCCCCUCACUGGGGCCUCUGCUAAAAUGGUACGGCAGCGGCUCCCUCCCACCCCCAGGCUUUAUUUUCCUCCACAUCAUCACCUGACAUCUUACACUUUGUUUCCUGUCUGAAUCUCCCUCAAUAGAAUGUCAGCUCCACCAGGUAAAGCAUUUUUCCAGUGCCUACGACAGUGGCUGGUGCUGAGAAAGUGCUCCACAAACACCCUGAAUAGACGAGGCCCUCUCAAGGCUCCCUGACCAUCCUUGAAGCUGGGGACCAUGUGCUCACCCCGUUCCAGGCCACAGUAUUCUCAUCUGUGGAAUGGGUUGGGGAUGAACUGGAUGGUCUCCAUCUGUGGUGACUGGAGAUCACGUUCAGCCUCCAGCCCAAGAGUAGGUACAUGGGGCAAGUUUUGUCCAGAAGGGAGAUGACGGCACAGGUGGGACAAACAGGGAUGAUGGUCGUUGCUUUGGAGGCCUGACUGCGCAACCCAGAUCCCCACUUUAGGACUGAAGGACUCCAUUUCCUCAGCUUCUGGGAAGGUUGUCAAGUCUCGGCCCUCUCUGGGAAUUACCCGCCGCUGAAAAGGGCUGCUUGCCCAGGUCAUGGGGGUGGGUAGACGCCACCCAGUGGCAUCCGCUGACUGGUCCGUGUGGGCAUAGAAGGCCCAGCCUUCUGGGCCCAACUCUCUGAAAGGCCGCUCCAGCUGCCAUAUUCCCUGUGGGAUCCCUGAGGCCCAGUUGAAACUACAGAGCACCUCGAAUUCUCCCUCUGCCCAGUCCUGCUGUCUCCAUCCCCUCGGGCACUGAGCUGGAGAACCCUUUAAACCUCCUGCCAGCUUCUCAGGGCCCCCGAAGCUGGAAGAGCAAUUCAGAGCUGAAGACAAUCUGGGAUGACUGUAGGGGGAUGGGGGGACGCUGGCGCUGAAUCCAUAAGGCUGGCUGAAGUUACACAGGCCCCACAACCUCUAUUUAAAGGCCACUUAGUGGGGUCAACUUCCUUCUCACCCGCCGCUGCUUGCUGCCAAACCUGGGCCAGGCUAUGAGAGGUGAACGGUGGUCCUCCCCACGGCGGAAUAGACUUCUAGAAUCCACCUCCUAAAUGCUGGAGGCAGAGAAGUUCUGCCGCACCUGAGGGCUUUGCGGGGGCUGAGCCAGGGUUGUAAAUCUCUUGCCCUGAAGCGUGGGCAAAGUCACGUGGCCCUUUACCGCCUCGGGUUUCUCCUCGGUAAAGUGUCUCCCGCAAUAGCUCCCAGCUCCCAGGAAGAUUCUGCAGGUGAAACGCUGAACCCGGAUACUGAACCGGGAGGGCCACGUUUGAAAAAGAAAUCUCGGGGAAGGGGUCGGACCUGGGCCAGGGCCCCCCGGGGAAAGGCUCCGUCCCCUCCCCGCAUCUCUCAGGACGCCCCGCCUGGGUCCCCUUCGGGGCGGGCGGGGUUAAGCGAGGGCAGAGGGAGAAAUGAUUUCAGAGAAACCGUCCAGGCCUGAGUUCCCAUAAACGCGCGGGCCGCAGGGGGUGGGGCGGGGCUGGAGGAAGUGGGGACGGGAGGGGCGGCCCAGCCCUCGGACUUCCAGUAACAGGUCUGCUGGGCGGGGCUCCGCUUCCUGCUCCCUGGGGAGGGAAGCCUGGCCCUUCGGGGAUCUACCCUGGCCACCCCGGCACCCCAACUUCCAUCCUCGAAUGAGGCGGAGAGGGGAGCCCGACCCAAAGAGCUCUCUCUAGUUACCUUGGGGGUAAGAAAGGACCCCAAUUGCUCCAGCCAGGGGACCUCGCUAAGACUCCAUGCCUCAGGGUUCAGAAUCCAGCUGCCUCUCUGUCCCCCACAUCCUGGCGUGCAUCCUCCUGCGACCCUGGCAUACGAUGCCCUAACUCUUGAAGGGUACAGACUGUCCCCAUGGGGCCGAGUUUUAGGCUCCCCCGGCUGCCCUGCCGCCCGGGCCUUCCUCGCUCAGCAGUCAAGGCAUGUAGUACCCCAAACUUCUGCCCUCCGGGACUCAGAACGCGUCCCCCCUCCCCCCCCCCACCUCGUGGAAACUCAGACUUCCAGCUCCCCACUGCCAGACCUUUGGGAGGGGGUGGGUGGGUGAUUGCAAAUACCCUGAGAUCUUACUGCCCUGAAUACCUCGAAGUCCAGCCUCCCAACCGUAGCAUUGCCCCUUUGGGGAUCCAGACCUAGAGUGUCCCCCCACCCCCGCCCCCGCCCGGCCCGCUGCCCAUUCCGGUAAAGCCUCGGCCCCAGCGGAAGGGGUUAAGGUUAGAGGGAGCGCCAGGAGGGGGAGGCUGCGAGUGAGUGACGGGUGCUGACGUGGGGAAGGCAGAGCAGCUGGGCUGCGGUCAAGUUCUGCGGGAAGGGAUUUCCCCCACCAGGCAGCUGAGGCAGAAGUGUUUGCUUUGGGGGAGAGGGGGGAGGGCGGGGAGGGAGGCUGGGGCGUGGGGCUGGAGAGUGGUGUGCCAGGUCUUCUGCACCCGGCUUUCACAGGCUGCAAACAAACCACCCCUGGGGACAGAGACAAAUUGAAUCUAUUUCACAGAUGACCCCACAGGUACCCAGAGGCGGCGGGAACUAGUUUUACCGAGGCCUUUGUGUAUAAAUAUAUUUAUCUUUAUAUAUACAUAUAUAUAAAGAUACAUUUAUAACUCAGACACUUCGUCCUGCUUGGGUUCGCAAGGAUAGUCCACAACCACCCUGGGAGCUCUGUUUCAACAAAAUCCACUCCCAUGUACUGAGCACCGACUGUGUGCCCAGCCCUGUUCUAUGCACUGUAAGUCCUGUACUUCACUGCAUUGAAUCCGCAUUGCGAUCAUGAGGCCUGAUUUCCAGAUAGGGAAACUGAGGCUUGGGGAUGUGAAGUCACCCAGGGGCCAGUGUUGGAGAACCCCCCCCCCUCCACUUUCCUUGCAUCUCCCCCUGUGGUUUCCAGAGUCCCCAAGCCCAUUCCUAGAUAAUUGCUUUAUUGAAAUCAUUUCUUUUCUGCCUCAUAGAGACCUUCAUCUUGUGGUUCUUGUUUGUACAGGGGGAAACUGAGGCAGAGAGGUGUGAGAAAGUGACCAGCUGAGAUUCCAUCCGAGGCAAAGAUUCUGCACUAUCGCCCAGCAUGGGGACCUCAGGACCAGUUUGCUGAGUGAAUCUGUGGCUGAGGAAGAUACCAAAGCACCAGGGUGAAGAAGUUGACUACGUGAAGACUAGAUGGUACCCAGGACACGAGCUGCCACGAUUCUGAGAACUGGCUUCAAAGAAAUGAGAACAAAGGACCCUGGAACUGAAGAUGAAGUGUCCCUAGAACAAUCAAGAUGAUGCUGGUCAGACCACUGAUGACCAAUUUGAAGAUGACUGUCAGAGCUGACUACUGUUUCUGCAAGUAGCCCCCUUCCCCGGCCACUUCUGUCUAUGAAAACUCUUGCCACCCUGGUUGCCAGGAGUGGGGGUCGUCAGCCUUUGGACAGAUGUCUGCCCCGACCCCCACCAGCUGCCGGCAUCUGAAAUAAAGCAAACUCUCCUUUC